UGAAUGAAGGCUUUUAACGCCAUUAAACUCUUGUGUUGGUCAGAAGAGAGGAUGGCUGUCGCGGGUCAACAAAAAUUUUAUAGAGCUGGGACCGCAGAAGGUCCAUCAUUCGACUUGAAAGACGAAAGCAUAGUUGAAGUUUUGCUGGUUUACGAUGCAAAGUUGUAUUUCCCUCUCAAUCAAGACAUUCCACAAUCAACCAGAGGUCAGGAAAGAAAGAGUCUCGAAAACGUCUGUCUCUGGGAAACAGAUAUUGGCAAUUUAAAGAAGGAUUUUAUACUGAAAGAGAAGUUUGAUGGAGUUUGCCAAGUUGAAUUAAAAGGUUCAACAAAUGCGAAUUACACUCUCAAAGAAGAGAAAAUCCAAGAAAUUCGAAGGCGUUUGAAAUCCCUUAAGUGGCGAAAGACAACCGUCCCACAAUGCAGAGGAGGAUUCUCUUUGAUGCACGUCAGUCCUUUGGUUCAAGCGGUUGUUGUGUACUUGACAGACCAUUUCCCCAUCAACGCUAAGGAAUUGAACUUCCACGCUGAGCUGAAGGCUGUCAGCCAGUGGUGUUGGUCGGAUGACUACAAUCAACUUGUUAUAAAGAAAGUCCCUGUUGACGAUUGUCGGCUGAAAUUUGCAGCCACAAAAACACUGAAAACUUGGGAGAAAACGGAGAAAGAACUUCUAAAUACCAGUGCCAAUAAAAUCAACGAAAGUGUUGACAAGAAGUUGUCAGAUGUAAGAAAGGCCAUUAAUGUUUUAAACGAGUACACUGGCAGUACAGCUUCAAAAACUUCACACGUAGAUGGAACUAAGAGGAAGGUAAGUCGGAAGUCAAACGGCAGAUAUCUUGCAUGAUGUGUGGUAGAAAGUGGCUUAUCAUUUUGCGGUAUAAACCAUUUUAAGGACGACCUCUACUCGUGCUAAAUAAAAAAUCUUGCCAUGAUUUUACAUGAUGAUUUUGCAUCCUCGAAUGGUUUACUUGUUUGAUUGCGGACCAAGCAGACGCGUUGUGGUCAUGAGGCCCAAUCUGAUUGGCUCUUGCUGGACCUGUAUUCUAACGUUAGAUGAUGCCGUAAAUUGUCAGCCAAGUCAGGUCUCAGAACCAAAAGGAGAGAUUAAAAGUGGCCAAGCUGCCUCAAAACGUAGAAAACA